UUCUUGAGGGUGGCAAAAAGGAAACUACUGCGCUCUAAAGAUGAAGUCAGCUUCGGAAGAGAAGCCUGAUAAGAGGAGGAAGCUGUUAGCUACUGGAAUUUAGAGAAAGAAAGAAAAGAAAGAAAGAAAGAAAGAAAAAACACAUGAGAAGCAUUGCAACCUUGCUGAGUUUCAUUCUUCCUCUGCUCUCCUGCUUCCCAGCAAAGGAGAACACUCUGCUCAGAGAUUCCCCUCGGGACAAAGUCAUCUCCAGUUUCCAGCUUGUUCAGCUUCAUUUAAUCCAAGUUGCAGUAUCUCCAGCAACCCCUUUAUGCUGCAUGAUGAUAAUGUAAACGUGGUGCUAAUUAGGUGCACGUAGACCUCCCCUAUGGGUGAAGCAGCUAUGCUGUCCUCCCUACCUCAGCUGCUGGCUGUGCAGCAGAGCCACGUUUGAGAUAACCCAGUCCUAGAAGUGCAUGACUGGGGAUGAACAUCAGCCAAAAGCUCAUCUUAGGACUGUGACCUCACCUAGUGGGGAGAGUAUCAUGCUCCCAG